rnacentral:rRNA from 1 species
AGGUAUCAGAAGUGCGAAUGCUGACAUAAGUAACGAUAAAGCGGGUGAAAAGCCCGCUCGCCGGAAGACCAAGGGUUCCUGUCCAACGUUAAUCGGGGCAGGGUGAGUCGACCCCUAAGGCGAGGCCGAAAGGCGUAGUCGAUGGGAAACGGGUUAAUAUUCCCGUACUUGGUGUUACUGCGAAGGGGGGACGGAGAAGGCUAUGUUGGCCGGGCGACGGUUGUCCCGGUUUAAGCGUGUAGGUGUGUGUUCCAGGUAAAUCCGGUUCACUUUAACACUGAGGCGUGACGACGAGGCACUACGGUGCUGAAGCAACAAAUGCCCUGCUUCCAGGAAAAGCCUCUAAGCAUCAGGUAACAUCAAAUCGUACCCCAAACCGACACAGGUGGUCAGGUAGAGAAUACCAAGGCGCUUGAGAGAACUCGGGUGAAGGAACUAGGCAAAAUGGUGCCGUAACUUCGGGAGAAGGCACGCUGACACGUAGGUGAAGUGAUUUACUCAUGGAGCUGAAGUCAGUCGAAGAUACCAGCUGGCUGCAACUGUUUAUUAAAAACACAGCACUGUGCAAACACGAAAGUGGACGUAUACGGUGUGACGCCUGCCCGGUGCCGGAAGGUUAAUUGAUGGGGUCAGCGCAAGCGAAGCUCCUGAUCGAAGCCCCGGUAAACGGCGGCCGUAACUAUAACGGUCCUAAGGUAGCGAAAUUCCUUGUCGGGUAAGUUCCGACCUGCACGAAUGGCGUAAUGAUGGCCAGGCUGUCUCCACCCGAGACUCAGUGAAAUUGAACUCGCUGUGAAGAUGCAGUGUACCCGCGGCAAGACGGAAAGACCCCGUGAACCUUUACUAUAGCUUGACACUGAACAUUGAGCCUUGAUGUGUAGGAUAGGUGGGAGGCUUUGAAGUGUGGACGCCAGUCUGCAUGGAGCCGACCUUGAAAUACCACCCUUUAAUGUUUGAUGUUCUAACGUGGACCCGUGAUCCGGGUUGCGGACAGUGUCUGGUGGGUAGUUUGACUGGGGCGGUCUCCUCCUAAAGAGUAACGGAGGAGCACGAAGGUUGGCUAAUCCUGGUCGGACAUCAGGAGGUUAGUGCAAUGGCAUAAGCCAGCUUGACUGCGAGCGUGACGGCGCGAGCAGGUGCGAAAGCAGGUCAUAGUGAUCCGGUGGUUCUGAAUGGAAGGGCCAUCGCUCAACGGAUAAAAGGUACUCCGGGGAUAACAGGCUGAUACCGCCCAAGAGUUCAUAUCGACGGCGGUGUUUGGCACCUCGAUGUCGGCUCAUCACAUCCUGGGGCUGAAGUAGGUCCCAAGGGUAUGGCUGUUCGCCAUUUAAAGUGGUACGCGAGCUGGGUUUAGAACGUCGUGAGACAGUUCGGUCCCUAUCUGCCGUGGGCGCUGGAGAACUGAGGGGGGCUGCUCCUAGUACGAGAGGACCGGAGUGGACGCAUCACUGGUGUUCGGGUUGUCAUGCCAAUGGCACUGCCCGGUAGCUAAAUGCGGAAGAGAUAAGUGCUGAAAGCAUCUAAGCACGAAACUUGCCCCGAG